AUUGAACGCUGGCGGCAGGCCUAACACAUGCAAGUCGAGCGGAUGAAGGGAGCUUGCUCCUGGAUUCAGCGGCGGACGGGUGAGUAAUGCCUAGGAAUCUGCCUGGUAGUGGGGGAUAACGUCUGGAAACGGGCGCUAAUACCGCAUACGUCCUGAGGGAGCAAGUGGGGGAGCUUCGGACCUCAUGCUCUCAGAUGAGCCUAGGUCGGAUUAGCUAGUUGGUGGGGUAAUGGCCUACCAAGCCGACGAUCCGCAACUGGCCUGAUAGGGUGAUCAGUCGCACUGGAACUGGGACACGGUCAAGACGCCUAAGAGAGGCCGCAGUGGGGAAUAUUGGGCAGUGGGGGAAAGUAUUGUCCAGCGAUGCCGCGUGUGUGAAGGAGGUCUUCGGAUUGUAAAGAAGUUUAAGUUGGGAGGAAGGGCAGUAAGUUAAUACCUAGCUGUUUUGACGUUACCGACAGAAUAAGCACCGGCUAACUUCGUG
rnacentral:rRNA from 1 species